rnacentral:rRNA from 1 species
GAGUUUGAUCGUGGCUCAGGAUGAACGCUGGCGGCGUGCCUAAUACAUGCAAGUCGAGCGAACGGACGAGAAGCUUGCUUCUCUGAUGUUAGCGGCGGACGGGUGAGUAACACGCGGAUAACCUACCUAUAAGACUGGGAUAACUUCGGGAAACCGGAGCUAAUACCGGAUAAUAUUUUGAACCGCAUGGUUCAAAAGUGAAAGACGGUCUUGCUGUCACUUAUAGAUGGAUCCGCGCUGCAUUAGCUAGUUGGUAAGGUAACGGCUUACCAAGGCAACGAUGCAUAGCCGACCUGAGAGGGUGAUCGGCCACACUGGAACUGAGACACGGUCCAGACUCCUACGGGAGGCAGCAGUAGGGAAUCUUCCGCAAUGGGCGAAAGCCUGACGGAGCAACGCCGCGUGAGUGAUGAAGGUCUUCGGAUCGUAAAACUCUGUUAUUAGGGAAGAACAUAUGUGUAAGUAACUGUGCACAUCUUGACGGUACCUAAUC